AGUGAACGCUGGCGGUAGGCCUAACACAUGCAAGUCGAACGGCAGCACAGUAAGGGCUUGCUCUUACGGGUGGUGAGUGGCGGACGGGUGAGGAAUACAUCGGAAUCUACUUUUUCGUGGGGGAUAACGUAGGGAAACUUACGCUAAUACCGCAUACGACCUACGGGUGAAAGCAGGGGAUCUUGGACCUUGCGCGAUUGAAUGAGCCGAUGUCGGAUUAGCUAGUUGGCGGGGUAAAGGCCCACCAAGGCGACGAUCCGUAGCUGGUCUGAGAGGAUGAUCAGCCACACUGGAACUGAGACACGGUCCAGACUCCUACGGGAGGCAGCAGUGGGGAAUAUUGGACAAUGGGCGCAAGCCUGAUCCAGCCAUACCGCGUGGGUGAAGAAGGCCUUCGGGUUGUAAAGCCCUUUUGUUGGGAAAGAAAAGCAGCAGGUUAAUACCCCGCUGUUCUGACGGUACCCAAAGAAUAAGCACCGGCUAACUUCGUG
rnacentral:rRNA from 1 species